rnacentral:rRNA from 1 species
UACGGAGGGAGCUAGCGUUGUUCGGAAUUACUGGGCGUAAAGCGCGCGUAGGCGGCUUUGUAAGUUAGAGGUGAAAGCCCGGGGCUCAACCCCGGAAUUGCCUUUAAGACCGCAUCGCUUGAAUCCGGGAGAGGUGAGUGGAAUUCCGAGUGUAGAGGUGAAAUGCGUAGAUAUCAGGAGGAACACCUGUGGCGAAGGCGUCCAUCUGGCCCGUUACUGACGCUGAGGCGCGAAAGCUAGGGGAGCAAACGGG